AGUGAACGCUGGCGGUAGGCCUAACACAUGCAAGUCGAACGGCAGCACAGUAAGAGCUUGCUCUUACGGGUGGCGAGUGGCGGACGGGUGAGGAAUACAUCGGAAUCUACUUUUUCGUGGGGGAUAACGUAGGGAAACUUACGCUAAUACCGCAUACGACCUACGGGUGAAAGCAGGGGAUCUUCGGACCUUGCGCGAUUGAAUGAGCCGAUGUCGGAUUAGCUAGUUGGCGGGGUAAAGGCCCACCAAGGCGACGAUCCGUAGCUGGGCUGAGAGGAUGAACAGCCACACUGGGACUGAGACACGGUCCAGACUCCUACGGGAGGCAGCAGUGGGGAAUAUUGGACAAUGGGCGCAAGCCUGAUCCAGCCAUACCGCGUGGGUGAAGAAGGCCUUCGGGUUGUAAAGCCCUUUUGUGGGGAAAGAAAAGCAGCAGGUUAAUACCCCGCUGUUCUGACGGUACCCAAAGAAUAAGCACCGGCUAACUUCGUG
rnacentral:rRNA from 1 species